UUACGAGCGAUGGCACGACCAGCUCCAGGAUUUUAGGAAGUCUUUUCCCGCUCCUAAAAGGCUCUUGGAUUUAAGAGAGGAAUUCCCAUGCAUCCAAACUGCCCUGAUGGAUCCAACCAAAGAAAGAAGGAAGCAUGGCACCUUUUGAAUAACGCCUAAAUGCUGCUGAAAGAGACCAUGCUAAGAAGCUGGUGCUGAGCAUCAUUUAAUACCGCCUACUUCAGAACAUGGGUUACCAGGAUCUACAUGAAGUCAUAAAGGACCUAUUCUCCAAGAAGAAACUGAAGAGAUCAGCAAACACAGCCAGUUCCAGAACAGGAAUCUUAACGUCACACCCAUUAGCUGGUGCCAUCAGUGCAUGCUCAUCUAUCUGAACCCCAAAAUAGUUUUUAAAAAAUGGCAAGAAAAGCAAUAUAGAUAAGGUCCUCCAGAUAUACAAUCAUCUGUAUAAAUCUACCACAUUCACCAGCAUCCAGUACAAGGCCUUGAUGGCAUAUGCAAUGACAGAAAUUAUGUAAUUUGAGGGAUGACAUCAUGACACCUUUGACACAAACCACAUCAUUUUUGUCAUUUGUGUGAUGACAUCAUGAUCCAUGUGACGUUGCUCCCUCCCCCCAUGCCUGUAUCACAUUUUUGUCCAAGUAA